rnacentral:rRNA from 1 species
UACGUAGGCAGCAAGCGUUGUUCGGAGUUACUGGGCGUAAAGAGUGCGUAGGCGGUUGUGCAAGUUCGGUGUGAAAUCUCCCGGCUUAACUGGGAGGGUGCGCCGAAGACUGUGGAACUGGAGUGUGGGAGAGGCAAGCGGAAUUCCUGGUGUAGCGGUGAAAUGCGUAGAUAUCAGGAGGAACACCGGUGGUGUAGGCGGCUUGCUGGACCAUAACUGACCGCUGGAGGCACGAAAAGCGUGGGGAGCAAACAGG